CGGACGGGUGAGUAACACGUGGAUAACCUACCUAUAAGACUGGGAUAACUUCGGGAAACCGGAGCUAAUACCGGAUAAUAUAUUGAACCGCAUGGUUCAAUAGUGAAAGACGGUUUUGCUGUCACUUAUAGAUGGAUCCGCGCUGCAUUAGCUAGUUGGUAAGGUAACGGCUUACCAAGGCAACGAUGCGUAGCCGACCUGAGAGGGUGAUCGGCCACACUGGAACUGAGACACGGUCCAGACUCCUACGGGAGGCAGCAGA
rnacentral:rRNA from 1 species